rnacentral:tRNA from 1 species
AGAAAGUUCCUAGGAAAAGGCUGGUGUCUUGAAAACAUCAUGAUGGGAGGGAAGUACUCUCAACUUUCUU